ensembl:lncRNA
GAAGGCUCUUGCCCUGCUAGUUAUAAUGAAUUCAAUGGCUGUGUUUUAUUUUAGCUUAACGGGACACUGUGCAAGGCUUUUAGAAAUUUAGUGGCACGUAUGAAUGCCAUCAGGCCGUUAGGACACCAUUUGCCUAGCAAAUACAGUAUCUCCCUGGAUGCUGCUGAGGGUGGCAGCUCCCUGCUGCUGGCGCCAGCUCUGUUGUCAGCUCCACGAAGCCAUCAGACAGUUCCAGCUGCUUACUUUUUUCCACAUGCUGUUAAUAAUUCUGUCGGCCGGGAAAGCCACGUUUUGAUUUUAUCUGCACUCCAGACAGUUCGUGGAGAAAAAAGAUUAUAUAGAGAUUGCUUAAAUGUAUUCUCUUAGAUGCUAAGGAUGCCUUGUCAGUGUCUGUACCUGACGCUUAAUUAACAGAGAGGUGAGUGAUAUUUCUGCUUCACGGUCUUACUGUGGUGUAUACUGAAGCCCCAUCCUUUUUUGGAAAUGUGAAGGGACCCGAAAGGAGGUGCAAAUUCUACCUGUGCUUGCUUGAAAUGUAAGGGCGAAAGGGGAACAUGUGAUGUGGGUUCUGGAGGUCUGUCUCGGUAAUUGCAUGUGACGUGCCAGCUGCAGAGGCCAGCGUGGGUCUUCUUCUCAUGCUUGAGAAGACCUCUGUGAGGUCAGAAGCAGCACUGUGGGUGGUGCAGAACUCCCCUCAGCCUUUCUGGGCCGCUGCUGUGGGGAAGGGUUUACCAUUAUGUUAUCCUCUUAGCAGCAAAGCCCGCCGUGACCGGGGUGAAGCGAGCAGUGUGAAGCCUAUGGGUACGCAGCUGAUGGCCACGGGCUGCUGCAGGAGCAGAGUGCUGCUCAGGGCUCACUGCUCUGAAGUCAGCAUUUUCCCUUUCAGUUCAGGCAGGAGGGAAAGGGAAGAAAGCUGUGUGUUUGUUUUGUGGCAUAAAAGGAAACCCCGCUGGUAGUAAUUCCUGACUGUUAAACCCAAAGAACGUGUGGGUGAACGAGGCUGAAAGAAGCAGCGUGCAGCCAUGUCAAAGCCCUGGAGAUACUGAACUCCAUGCUGAGAGGAGUACGGGGAAUCUUUGCUGUGGGUAUUAGAGGAGCAGUGUGCCACCUGUGCCGUGUACAUGCACACCCAAGGAGCAGCCACCAGCCUAAGAGAGCGCACAUGGCAGCGUGAAAGCAUAAAGCAUCUGCUCUUGGUGUCUGCCUGAUGUCACAACAAGGAAAAAAGAGCUUUUCCUGGAAAGGAAGUAAUUUAAAAGUAAUGCUAAAGGGCACACUGGGAACUGCAGCACCCUCCUGACUGCCCUGGAAGCGUGCAAGUCAUUUCUCAGCUCAUGGGACAAAGGCAAAUCUGCAGAUAGGAGGGUAAACGUGGACCAUCCGGCACCCACACGCCUUCUGGAAAGCUAUUUAGUGCUGAGAACCCAGCCAAGGCUCC